rnacentral:rRNA from 1 species
AAAAAGUAAAUCAAUUAAAACUUUCAACAACGGAUCUCUUGGUUCUGGCAUCGAUGAUGAACGCAGCGAAAUGCGAUAAGUAAUGUGAAUUGCAGAAUUCAGUGAAUCAUCGAAUCUUUGAACGCACAUUGCGCCCUUUGGUAUUCCGAGGGGCAUGCCCGUUCGAGCGUCAUUA